UGUGAGCUUUCAUUCCCCAGGUUAGUUUGUUCCUUGGCCCAGGACAAGGGAAGCCUGGUGUGAGCAGGUACCAGCGCUCCUGGGGGUUGAGCCAGGGCCGUUGUUGUUGAUCUGCCUUUAUGCAGCGUUGGAAACAUUCCUUUGGAAGCACAAGCUGCUGCCGGUGGGUUUCUGUGUCCCAGGCUUCCUGCCUUCCCGGACGGGGAUAGCUGGGAUGCUUGGGAUGUUUGACACUAUAAACUUUCCCUUCCAAAUGGCAGCCAGCCCAGCUGAGACAAAGGGCAGUGGGGCAGGGAUGAAACUGAUAUGGAGCCAACACAGACUGCUUGUGAGGCUAGAAAACCCAGCGGCACAGCUACAACCCCCAGCUGAUGGAUAGGCCCAGCAGAGAAAGUGAAGCCCUGUCUGGAUCAGUGAGAGGCCUGUAUACACCGAGGAGCUCCCAGGUCAGGGCAUCCUGUGCCGCUCUGAUCCUGCCAGAGCUCUUAUCUGCUAAACCACCAUGCAGCACAUGUUCUCCAUCCCAGCUGGGCCUGCCUGCGAUCUCACUGCCGUGAACCAGGAGGAAUCCAUCUGGACUCAGUGUCGGAGAGAGGAGAACAGGCCCAUAUUGUGCUGCUGGUGCGAGAGCACAUGGGCACUCGGGGGCACCACCGUGACACAGCUGACGAUUCACAAAGAGGCUGGCCUCAGAGGAGCUCACCAGGGAAUCACUAAGGUUGACUGAUGAUGUUACACAUCAUACAGCGAGGAAGAAACUUCCCUUCCCUGGGGAGCCGCAGGCUGGAUGUUUCCCAAACCCACAGAGCCCUUUCAAAUGUACAAAGGGAAUCAAAGCAGGCAACAGACACCACAGGACCUGAUGGGUUGUUUUAAUUCAGGCAAAUGUUUGCAAAUACUUUU